CCUGGCUCAGAUUGAACGCUGGCGGCAUGCUUUACACAUGCAAGUCGAACGGCAGCACGGGUGCUUGCACCUGGUGGCGAGUGGCGGACGGGUGAGUAAUACAUCGGAACGUAUCCAGAAGAGGGGGAUAACGCAUCGAAAGAUGUGCUAAUACCGCAUAUUCUCUGAGGAGGAAAGCAGGGGAUCGAAAGACCUUGCGCUUUGGGAGCGGCCGAUGUCUGAUUAGCUAGUUGGUGGGGUAAAGGCCUACCAAGGCGACGAUCAGUAGUUGGUCUGAGAGGACGACCAGCCACACUGGGACUGAGACACGGCCCAGACUCCUACGGGAGGCAGCAGUGGGGAAUUUUGGACAAUGGGCGCAAGCCUGAUCCAGCAAUGCCGCGUGAGUGAAGAAGGCCUUCGGGUUGUAAACUGCUUUUGUACGGAACGAAACGGCCUUUUCUAAUACAGAAGGCUAAUGACGGUACCGUAAGAAUAAGCACCGGCUAACUACGUG
rnacentral:rRNA from 1 species